rnacentral:rRNA from 1 species
UACGGAGGGUGCAAGCGUUAUCCGGAUUCACUGGGUUUAAAGGGUGCGUAGGUGGGCAAGUAAGUCAGUGGUGAAAUCUCCGGGCUUAACCCGGAAACUGCCAUUGAUACUAUCAGUCUUGAAUACUGUGGAGGUUAGCGGAAUAUGUCAUGUAGCGGUGAAAUGCCUAGAUAUGACAUAGAACACCAAUUGCGAAGGCAGCUGGCUACACAAUUAUUGACACUGAGGCUCGAAAGCGUGGGGAUCAAACAGG